AAAUUGAAGAGUUUGAUCAUGGCUCAGAUUGAACGCUGGCGGCAGGCCUAACACAUGCAAGUCGAACGGUAACAGGAAGCAGCUUGCUGCUUUGCUGACGAGUGGCGGACGGGUGAGUAAUGUCUGGGAAACUGCCUGAUGGAGGGGGAUAACUACUGGAAACGGUAGCUAAUACCGCAUAACGUCGCAAGACCAAAGAGGGGGACCUUCGAGCCUCUUGCCAUCGGAUGUGCCCAGAUGGGAUUAGCUUGUUGGUGGGGUAACGGCUCACCAAGGCGACGAUCCCUAGCUGGUCUGAGAGGAUGACCAGCCACACUGGAACUGAGACACGGUCCAGACUCCUACGGGAGGCAGCAGUGGGGAAUAUUGCACAAUGGGCGCAAGCCUGAUGCAGCCAUGCCGCGUGUAUGAAGAAGGCCUUCGGGUUGUAAAGUACUUUCAGCGGGGAGGAAGGGAGUAAAGUUAAUACCUUU
rnacentral:rRNA from 1 species